CCAGACUCCUACGGGAGGCAGCAGUGGGGAAUAUUGCACAAUGGGCGAAAGCCUGAUGCAGCAACGCCGCGUGAAGGAAGAAGGGUUUCGGCUCGUAAACUUCUAUCAACAGGGACGAAAGAAAUGACGGUACCUGAAUAAGAAGCCCCGGCUAACUACGUGCCAGCAGCCGCGGUAAUACGUAGGGGGCAAGCGUUAUCCGGAUUUACUGGGUGUAAAGGGAGCGUAGACGGCAAGGCAAGCCAGAAGUGAAAGGGCAGGGCUCAACCCUGUACAUGCUUUUGGAACUGUGGUGCUAGAGUGCAGGAGAGGUAAGUGGAAUUCCUAGUGUAGCGGUGAAAUGCGUAGAUAUUAGGAGGAACACCAGUGGCGAAGGCGGCUUACUGGACUGUAACUGACGUUGAGGCUCGAAAGCGUGGGGAGCAAACAGGAUUAGAUACCCGCGUAA
rnacentral:rRNA from 1 species